rnacentral:rRNA from 1 species
GAUGAACGCUAGCUACAGGCUUAACACAUGCAAGUCGAGGGGAAACGACAUCGAAAGCUUGCUUUUGAUGGGCGUCGACCGGCGCACGGGUGAGCAACGCGUAUCCAACCUGCCCAUCACUUGGGAAUAACCUUGCGAAAGUAAGACUAAUACCCAAUGACAUCCCACGAAGACAUCUGAAUGGGAUUAAAGAUUUAUCGGUGAUGGAUGGGGAUGCGUCUGAUUAGCUUGUUGGCGGGGUAACGGCCCACCAAGGCAACGAUCAGUAGGGGUUCUGAGAGGAAGGUCCCCCACAUUGGAACUGAGACACGGUCCAAACUCCUACGGGAGGCAGCAGUGAGGAAUAUUGGUCAAUGGGCGAGAGCCUGAACCAGCCAAGUAGCGUGCAGGAUGACGGCCCCAUGGGUUGUAAACUGCUUUUAUAAGGGAAUAAAGUGGGUCUCGUGAGACUUUUUGCAUGUACCUUAUGAAUAAGGACCGGCUAAUUCCGUG